GAAAUGAGGUUGUGUUUGCAUAAAGCGUGAAACUUUGUCCUGGGAACUUUUGUCCUCCUAAUAAUUCCCAGCAAUGUGGACAUUAGAAGGUUACGGACUGUGUGGCAUUUUCACAGAAAGAGCAAAGGGAACCAAUUUAGAAGUCACUUGCUCUGGAAAAAGUCAGCGGCCAAAUCAUGAAAAUAGUCAUGCAACUCUACAGAGCGGUCCAUGUGGUGGGGAACUGAGGCCUCCUGCCCACAGCCACAUGAGCAAGCCAUCUGGAAAGUGGCUUCUCCAGCCCCUGUCACCUUCAGGUGCCUGCAGCUCAGGCUGACAUCCUGGCUGCAGCCUCAGGAGAGACACUGAACCAGAAGCACCAAGCUAAACUGUGCCUGGGUUCAUAUACUCAAAUGACAUGUGAG
rnacentral:lncRNA from 1 species